UACGGAGGGUGCAAGCGUUAUCCGGAUUCACUGGGUUUAAAGGGUGCGUAGGCGGACAGGUAAGUCAGUGGUGAAAUCUCUGGGCUUAACCCAGAAACUGCCGUUGAUACUAUUUGUCUUGAAUAUCCUGGAGGUAGGCGGAAUAUGUCAUGUAGCGGUGAAAUGCUUAGAUAUGACAUAGAACACCGAUAGCGAAGGCAGCUUACCACAGGAUGAUUGACGCUGAGGCACGAAAGCGUGGGGAGCAAACAGG
rnacentral:rRNA from 1 species